rnacentral:rRNA from 1 species
GUUUGAUCCUGGCUCAGGAUGAACGCUGGCGGCGUGCCUAAUACAUGCAAGUCGAACGAAACUUCUUUAUCACCGAGUGCUUGCACUCACCGAUAAAGAGUUGAGUGGCGAACGGGUGAGUAACACGUGGGCAACCUGCCCAAAAGAGGGGGAUAACACUUGGAAACAGGUGCUAAUACCGCAUAACCAUAGUUACCGCAUGGUAACUAUGUAAAAGGUGGCUAUGCUACCGCUUUUGGAUGGGCCCGCGGCGCAUUAGCUAGUUGGUGGGGUAAAGGCUUACCAAGGCAAUGAUGCGUAGCCGAACUGAGAGGUUGAUCGGCCACAUUGGGACUGAGACACGGCCCAAACUCCUACGGGAGGCAGCAGUAGGGAAUCUUCCACAAUGGGCGAAAGCCUGAUGGAGCAACGCCGCGUGGGUGAAGAAGGUCUUCGGAUCGUAAAACCCUGUUGUUAGAGAAGAAAGUGCGUGAGAGUAACUGUUCACGUUUCGACGGUAUCUAACCAGAAAGCCACGGCUAACUACGUGCCAGCAGCCGCGGUAAUACGUAGGUGGCAAGCGUUAUCCGGAUUUAUUGGGCGUAAAGGGAACGCAGGCGGUCUUUUAAGUCUGAUGUGAAAGCCUUCGGCUUAACCGGAGUAGUGCAUUGGAAACUGGGAGACUUGAGUGCAGAAGAGGAGAGUGGAACUCCAUGUGUAGCGGUGAAAUGCGUAGAUAUAUGGAAGAACACCAGUGGCGAAAGCGGCUCUCUGGUCUGUAACUGACGCUGAGGUUCGAAAGCGUGGGUAGCAAACAGGAUUAGAUACCCUGGUAGUCCACGCCGUAAACGAUGGGUGCUGGGUGCUGGGAUGUAUGUCUCGGUGCCGUAGCCAACGCGAUAAGCACCCCGCCUGGGGAGUACGGUCGCAAGGCUGAAACUCAAAGAAAUUGACGGGGGCCCGCACAAGCGGUGGAGUAUGUGGUUUAAUUCGAUGCAACGCGAAGAACCUUACCCAGGCUUGACAUCCAGGGAACCCUUCGGAAAUGAAGGGGUGCCCUUCGGGGAGCCCUGAGACAGGUGCUGCAUGGCUGUCGUCAGCUCGUGCCGUGAGGUGUUGGGUUAAGUCCCGCAACGAGCGCAACCCCUAUCUUCAGUUGCCAGCAGGUAAGGCUGGGCACUCUGGAGAGACCGCCCCGGUCAACGGGGAGGAAGGUGGGGACGACGUCAAGUCAUCAUGGCCCUUACGCCUGGGGCUACACACGUACUACAAUGGCGCGCACAAAGGGUAGCGAGACCGUGAGGUGGAGCCAAUCCCAAAAAACGCGUCCCAGUCCGGAUUGGAGUCUGCAACUCGACUCCAUGAAGUCGGAAUCGCUAGUAAUUCGAGAUCAGCAUGCUCGGGUGAAUGCGUUCCCGGGCCUUGUACACACCGCCCGUCACACCACGAAAGUCGGUUUUACCCGAAGCCGGUGAGCCAAC